rnacentral:rRNA from 1 species
CUACGGGCGGCUCCAGUGGGGAAUUUUGCGCAAUGGGGGAAACCCUGACGCAGCAACGCCGCGUUAAGGAUGAAGGCCUUUGGGUCGUAAACUUCUGUCAGAGGGGAAGAAAUGCCCGCAAGGGAGCUGACGGUACCCUCAAAGGAAGCACCGGCUAACUCCGUGCCAGCAGCCGCGGUAAUACGGAGGGUGCAAGCGUUGUUCGGAAUUAUUGGGCGUAAAGAGCAUGUAGGCGGACUGUUAAGUCUGGUGUGAAAGCCCGGGGCUCAACCCCGGAAGUGCAUUGGAUACUGGCAGUCUUGAGUAUGGGAGAGGAAAGUGGAAUUCCGAGUGUAGGAGUGAAAUCCGUAGAUAUUCGGAGGAACACCAGUGGCGAAGGCGGCUUUCUGGACCAAUACUGACGCUGAGAUGCGAAAGCGUGGGGAGCAAACAGGAUUAGAUACCCCGGUAGUC